UCUAAGCAGAGCCCUUGAAUGGUAAAGCCGCGAAUGGCUCAUUACAACAGCCACAGUUUAUUGGGUCUCCAUUUACUUGGAUAACUGAGCUAAUUGUUGAGCUAAUACACGCACCAAAGCUUCGACCUCACGGGAGGAGCGCAUUUAUUAGAACAAAACCAAUCGGACUUCGGUCCGUCCAUUGGUGAAUCUAAAUAACUUAGCCGAUCGCAUGGUCUCGCACCGGCGACUCACCUUUCAAAUGUCUGCCUUAUCACCUUUCGAUGGUAGUUUAUACGCCUACCAUGGGUUUUACGGGUAACGGAGAAUAAGGGUUCGACUCCGGAGAGGGAGCCUGAGAAACGGCUACCACAUCCAAGGAAGGCAGCAGGCACGCAAAUUACCCACUCCCGGCACGGGGAGGUAGUGACGAAAAAUUACGAGGCGGUUCUCUAUGAGGCCCGCCAUCGGAAUGGGUACAAUCUACA
rnacentral:rRNA from 1 species